CAGUGUCACCUGAUGAUUUUAAAGCAUACUUCAAAUGAUCAUAUAUAUGAUUAAUCAUUUGAAUCACUUUCGCCUUUUCUGAUGACACUG